UUGUCUACCUUUAUAAUUUUAGGGGGAUCCAGGGCCCAUGGCACCAAAAGAUUCAAAGUCACCCAAGGCAAAAAAAGUGGGCAAAGAAAGACGAUGACCAUGAUUACAUAAACAAGAAAAAGGGGGCCAGAGCAAGGAAAACAAGGAUCAAACAGGAAGGUGAGAUGAAAACACCAAAGAAAGAAAUUGAUACUUUAUUUAUCCUGAAGGAAACUACGGUAGUGUUAUGUUAGUUAAUGUUAUCAUCUAUAUCCCAUUGUGUAAGCCAGUUCUUG
rnacentral:lncRNA from 1 species